rnacentral:lncRNA from 1 species
GCUGCACUGAGUCCCCCGAUGCGGAGGACUGAGGCCCAUCUCAGGCGCGGAUGCCCCCCAACCCUGCCCUCCAGGAACACAGCCCGCCCACCUGUGCCCUGGGCUGCUCCCACCCACGCCGGAGGGCUGGCCACGGAGCCCCCUCCUUGGAAGUGAGGCCUGGGCUGGGGACGAGGGCACAGCAUUUCCCUGCAAUCUUGAUCUUUGGCCUGUGGGUUUGUCCUUGGCGAGGGUCUGAGGGUCUGUCCUCAGUUGUGAUAAGAGGUCUCGCCUUUCUUUCUUCCCUCUGCUUUCCCCGAGCCAAGGAAACAUGGAAUCGGGAGGGAAAAUGGCUUCUCCCUGUUGCACCCAAGAACAGCCUGCUGGAGUCUGUGCUGAGGCUGCUGGGUGGGAGGCCCGGCCUGUCCUCAGAGGCCACGUCUGCAGCGAGGUUCUGCAGACCGAGCCAGUGCACAGCCCGGGGCCUCCCGGCUGUCUGGGCCCUGGUGGCCCCACAGGCCUUCCCCUGUCCCGAGUGCGCCUCCAGAACACACCGUGUCUUUGGCCCGGAACGGCCUCCCGCUGGGGAGCCUCGUGUCUCCCACUCCCUGUCUCGUCCACCUCCCAUCCUGUGUGACUUCAGUCAGGAUGCAGGGAAGUCCUUCCCUCAAGUGAAGACAGCCGUCCAGGUUUUCAGCCUGGGUGUUGACUUCCUCUCGAAUCCCCAGUGCUUGGACACAAGGUCAUGGACCGCACUAGAGGAGGGUGCUGUGUCUGAUCUUGGACAAGUACACAGUGAGUCACGCCCUGGACCCCUGAGUGAGCCCAGCAGAGUUCAUCUAAGCUGACCACUCGCAUCUCUGAUUGGGGUCACUGCUGUUUCCCAUCCACUUGGUAUCCAGCAAAGGCAGACAGAAAGACAGAAAGACAGAGGAAAUUGGAGACUGAGUAGCUAGGCUCUGGUUUUAUGCACAAAGCGAAGGCUCAGUAAGUCUUACUUGCUCCCCUGAAUACUUUGGGUCCCGAGUCCCAUGGCAAGCCUGGUAAUUCCUCAAGGGAAAGCGACUUGGAGCACAGCACAGUGAGCUGGACAGAGAGUGGUGCCUGUGUCGGGUGCUCGGUCUGUAGCAGGCACUUCUUGUCCGUCCAUUCUUGUUUGAUUCUGCAGAGAGGAAUUGAUCUGGAGGUAGAAACUCCGCUCAGAGACAGGAAGCGAGCAAGCAGAUGCACACCGCUGGCAAGGUAGCUGACGAACUCUGGAGUCCAGGGCUGCUCUGCAGCCAAGAAUAGCUUCUUUAAGCCCUUCCCUGCAGGCGGGGACCCUGGCCAGCAUCCAGGCCACACUCUGUGCAAGCCAAGCAGGGAUCCUGCCUGGUGGAGGUGACUGGCCAGCUCAAACUGCACAGUUGUCGGCGUGGCCAGGUUGCUGGGCGCCUCCUUCAGUGCCGCUGGUGUGACUCGGACCUUGUGGGGAUCCUGGCCGAGUCAGCAGGACCAUAGGGCCGGCUGGCGGCAGGGCAGUGUAUCCUGACCACCAUCCUGGGCUGAGGAGCGAAGCCCCAGUCCGGUCCCCUGUCCCUGGCCUGUCCUCCCCAGCCUGCCAGCUCCAAGGGCGGGAAUGGGGCCAGCGCCGGGAGCUUCUCGGGCUUCUGCUCCUGCUGGCACUGGCUGGGCAGGAGCUCUGCUUGGCUGGCUGCCCUGGGCACUUGCCACCCUUGUGUGUUUGCUUGGCCAUCGGGGUGAGGAAGCAGGAUGCUUUCCAUUGGACCCUGGGCGUUCCGGGCUUCAGGGGCCAGCGGCCAGCCAGGGCGGGAUCUGCCAUCCGUGCCUCCGUCUGUCCUCUUUGUCCCUCUCCCUCUCCUACCUGGCAGGCAGUUCAUAAUCCCGCCACCACCAGAUGCAGCGGGGGAGCAGGGGGAGGCCCACUGCUGUGCAGAGCAGGAACACUGGUGAGGGCCGCCCGAGAGCCUGCCUCAGGCACCUCCAGCCUCGGAGGGAGAGGGACUGUGGCACCCCGGCACCCUUCUCCCACGCCCAGCUGCACCAUUCCCAGACCAUCUGGGCCUCGUCCACAGCGUUUGUUUGAGUGGUGGUGAGACCUCUGGCACCACUCUGCCUGUCUUUGGUUAGAGCAGACAUAGGGAUGAUUUACAAUCACCCAGGAUCUCAGCAUGACUUCCUGUUAGGGUCAGGGAGAGACGCACUCCUGGGCCGUGCUACCUUGCUGAGACAGAGGCUGGCCAUGGAGAGAGCCACUGGUGCCCUGUGAGUGGCAUAUUCCCAGGAGCCCCAUGUUCUGGGUGGGGUAACUGAGGCCAGGAGCACUGGAGCCCUACACAGGGCCUUCCCGGUAGGGUAGGCAGAGAGCACACGGAAGGAAGCCGGGCUCCCCUCCCCCUCCCAAAGCAGCUUGCGUUCCCGCUGUCUGGCGCGGGCGGGCAUUGUAGUACCCCUGGGCUUUGCUGAGGGUGCCUGCCCUCAGAGGGAACCUGGGGUGCCAGGGCUGUGGACACGGAGAGAAAGGCCUUUCUGGUCCUUGGCUCUAGGCUCGGCUCCUACGUUUUUCAGACAGGAAGGUCCCCAGGGCCAUGAUCGCCCCGCCCCACAGAGGACAGCAGAGCUGGGAGGUGAACGGGACACUGCCAUGCCUCUGGUUCACUGAGUGCCGAGGAGUGCAGGGACCGGGCUGAUCCAAGGCCUGCUCAACAGGGACAGAAGGGCCCGGCUGUGAAGGGCCUGGGCUGGCCUGGACAGGGCGCCUGGAGCUGCGGCUGGGCUGUUCCCUUCUCAGCCUCCCCUUCCCACAGGGAUGUGCUCAGCUUUCUCCCAGCCCCGCAGCCCACAGCCUCUGUCCCCACGAGGAGACCUCAUGCGGAACGCACUCUGAGGAGAGCCUGGACGGGCGGAGGGAAGGACCUGCCCUGAGUGCCUCCUCACUGUGCUGUCUGAAGCCGUGGGACCCACCAGCCGCCUGCCUCAGGGCCUCUCUGAGAUUUUUCUGCAGGGAGCAUUUGCGGCACCCGGCAUAUCACCAUAUGGAUACACCGCACCCACCUUACAGAGGAGGGGUGGAAGCUCUGAGAAGCGACACACCUGGCCUCCCCAGAUCACCCAGCUCUCGGGGCACAGCUGACACCCAGGCCUUCUCCGUGGAGGUUUCUGUGGUUCCAGGGACAGAUUCAGCAGGAAUCUAAAUCCUGUGAGAACAGGGCCCUGGGUUCCCCCAUCACCGGCAUCUCCCUGCACCUGUCACCUGUCACCAGGCAGGUUUCCUGUUAGUUACUGAGUCAACGAAAGCAGGGACUUAAAUCCCUUUCCUUUCCUGCUCAAAGCCCCUCACUGUUCGGCGUGCCUUCCCGUGUGGACCCCUUGCUAGCCUGUGUACCUCGCAAGCCUGGGACCGUGUCCGGCGACCUUUCAGUCUGAGGCCCCAAUCCCAGCCUGCCCUGCAGCAGGUGCUCCCUGAACGACAGUGGAAUAUGGAAGCAGCAGUCCAUUCUGAGCUUUGGGCCAUGCUUUCCCCACACAGUCUUUCCGACCUCUUUUGUCACACAGAGGUUAAGUUACCUGGACUCACCACGUUGGCAGCAGUCUGCCUACUACCGUUGGUCCAGGAGGAGUUGGAUGUCUGCCCCUGCCAGUCACCUGGAGCUGGCACACCUGGGUUGUUCCGGGGCAGAUCCGAUGGCCCAGGGUUAAGUAGCACCUGGAAUGGUUAUGUGGCCAGGCACCUCCCCGUGAGUCUCCCGAGUGGCUUGGCGGGUGGCUGGCAAGGGAGGGACCCUUGGCACCGCUGCCCCUUUGUAUCAGCUGCCAGCAGGGCCUUUGAUGUACACAGAGGCCACCUGCCAGCCAAGUGCACUGUGGGACACGGGCACUGGGAGGAGGGGAACUACCCAGGACCCGCCAGAGGGCUCCUCAGCCGCCACUACCAUCUGGUACAGCAGUGGGAUGGCUCGGGAGCAUUUCCCCAUCUUGCAAGGAUGGAGAUGCUGCACAGAACCCCAGUAUUGUGGAUGAGGUAUUAACCUCAAAGCAAGGUGGGGCCUCUCACUGUUCGAGCUUCCUUCCUUACAUGUUAGACUGACACAAGCAGACCAAACUCCAUAGUCCGUCUGAUGUCCUUGUGGGCAUUGAAUGCAUUAAUAUAUUUAAGGCGCCCAUAGUGUGUGUGUGAAUCCAGUAAUAGCAGCACCUAAUACUUACGGAGCACUUAAACACUGCAUUAAUUGCUUCAAUCUUCAUAACUAGGUAGUACUAUUGUCCGCACUUUAUAGAUGAGAAACUAGAGCUCAGAAAUGUGGAGUAACUGCUGCAGGAUCACACAGCCCAACCAAAGCCAGUCCAGAGUUCAGUCCCCAUGGUCUGGUCGGAGACACUGCCUUGCUGUGCGUUGCCCCCGUGACUCAGAUGGUACGCUUCGCUUCUCUGCUUAUCAUGACGGUAAAGACGGCCACCACGAUGGCAGAUGACCACGACGGUGGUGGUGGUCACGGCCCGCUUGUGUCGCAGUUAUUUCUUGUUGGGAUUUUGAAUUCAUUGCAGUUGAUCCUCAGAGCGGGCCGGGAAAGUGAGUAAGUUUAAGGUGGGAGGAGAUCGGGCUUUAAGAGGGGGACCAGAGACCUAUUGAGCCACACUGUUGAGUGCAAGGCCAGGGUUGGGGAGGCAUGGGUGGGUGCAGAGGCCACAGGCCACCGGCUGUGUGUUGACACCAGGCUGCUGGGCCCCUGAGGCCGCAGCAUGGGGAGGAUGGGCGGUCACCCCCAAUCCUGCUGUCCUAUAGAAGUUGGGCUGGUCCCUAAGGACUGGAGCCGGAGGGCGUGUCUAGACCCCUGCAGACCCUGUCAUGAAGCUGGUGAGACCCAGCCACUGUCUACUGCGUGUGACAGCUCAUUGCCCUCCCGGAGCCCUGGGAUGCUCAUAUUGCUCUCCUGCAGACAUUCGGAUCUGUUGGAUCUGUUACUUACUGCCACAGCAAGGCCGAGUAACAGACAGCAGAACCCAGCUGGCUUUCAGUAGCAGGCAUUUAUGUUCACCCUCUCGGGGUGGUUGGCUGAGUGGUCCUGCCAGUCCCGCCAUGGGGCUGGGCUGCAUGCUGGCCAGUCAGAUUCCGCUGGAGUGACUGGGGUGUUUCUGCUCCCCCAUGACUUCCAUCUCUUUUCAGGUCCUGCAUUCUAGCCAGGGAAUAUCCUUUCAUGAGAGCAGAGCCCAAGAACUUAAUCACUCCUCACAGGGCAAGGCCUCUCCAUGCUUCUGCUGGACUCGCCUUUGCUGACCUGCUUAUUGGCAAAGGCAGAUCGCAGAGCCCAGCUCGAUGUCAGCAUAGGAGGACUCCACAGAGGACACGGUAGAGGGCAAAGAUGCAGGGGCAGGAGAAGUAUUGGGACCUUGUUUGCAGUGGAUCGCAGAUGAAGGCAUCUGAGGUGGCCCUGGGACUUGUCUGAGCUUUGCUGUCACCUUGACUUCAGAGUGACUGCCUCACUCAAGAGAAGAAGGGCACGAACAGGCCCUCAGCAGAGACUGCCUGCCUGGCAGUUCACCUAAAGAGAUGACAGUCCAAUUCCCUUGCCCAUGAGCACAGGGCUUUUCCAAGGUUGCCCGACUGAGACUUGGCUCUGCCAGCGUCAGUGUCACCCGCCUGUUCCCAGUGUCCCCAACUGUGAGAGACAGCCCCACCUGUGCCCAGGUCAUGGCAAGGCGUGGCCGUUCUGCUACCCAGUGCUGCUUGGGUGCUGGAGCCUGCCAGGAGCAGAAGCUGGAGAAGAGAAAAGCGUGACAUCUUCUUACAGCCUUGGUAGAGCCAUUGAUUUCCCAAAAGCAUCUUCCCCGGGUGGCCACCUGGAUGCUGGGACACAGUGGAGACUUCUUUGGGAAACACUGAGUCUUUAGAGAAAUUUUCUCAGUUAGCAGCCUCGUAGAGAAUUGAAGCCUUUGAGCCACAGGUUAGCUGGGGCUGCCCCAGUGAAGAUACAUUUCCAGCCUUGAGGAUGAAAACUUUAGUUGGAGCUCUGAUUUUGGAACUAACCUCUGAGUAAGCCCUUUGACUUAUGUAGUGGAGCUGUCUCUCCUUUUCCCUUACUUGCCCC